GUCUUCAAGGCCGGACAUCCAAUAAAGUUGGAAUAAUACAGAACAUUAGCAUGAUUCCUGCACAAAGAUAAUAUUUACAAUAAUAAAAUAAUAGCUAGUGAC